rnacentral:rRNA from 1 species
UACGGGGGGGGCAAGCGUUGUUCGGAAUUACUGGGCGUAAGGCGCGCGUAGGCGGCUUUGCAAGCCGGAUGUGAAAUCCCCGGGCUUAACCUGGGAACUGCAUUCGGGACUGCAUUGCUAGAGUAUGGGAGAGGGAAGUGGAAUUUCAGGUGUAGCGGUGAAAUGCGUAGAUAUCUGAAGGAACAUCAGUGGCGAAAGCGACUUCCUGGACCAAUACUGACGCUCAUGUGCGAAAGCGUGGGGAGCAAACAGG